CAGCAGUCGCCGCGGGAAUACAGAGGGUGCAAGCGUUAAUCGGAAUUACUGGGCGUAAAGCGUGCGUAGGCGGCUAAUUGAGUCGGAUGUGAAAUCCCCGAGCUUAACUUGGGAAUUGCAUUCGAUACUGGUUAGCUAGAGUGUGGGAGAGGAUGGUAGAAUUCCAGGUGUAGCGGUGAAAUGCGUAGAGAUCUGGAGGAAUACCGAUGGCGAAGGCAGCCAUCUGGCCUAACACUGACGCUGAGGUACGAAAGCAUGGGGAGCAAACAGGAUUAGAUACCCCGGUAGUCCCUGUCUCUUAUAC
rnacentral:rRNA from 1 species